CGGAAUCGAACCUGGGACCCUUCAGUCUGCAGGCCGACGCUCUAUCCACUGAGCCAAACCGGUUAGGGCUUAAACAGUAAUUUAAGUAAUCACCAGAAGAGAAAGAACAAAUUAAAAUUAACACAUGGUAGGAUGCAAUAAGAACACAGCAUCACUUCUUUAACAUUCCUGCCAAAGAUGCAAAGCCUGAACCUAUAAAGAAAUAUCAGACAAAAUUCAAAUUGAGGAAUGUUGUAAAAAAAAAAAAAAGUCUGUAAUCUUCAAAAGUGCCAAGGUUGUAAAAGUCAAGGAGAAAAUGAGGACUUGUUCCAGAUUUAA